GGCGUAGCCCCGGCCAUCUCAGCUUCACAGCCCCUUGCUUCCUUAUUUUAAGCCUGAGUAUAGAAGUUUUAGAGGAAUGAGGACCCAGUUCCUUGAAGCCCAGGCUAUGAGAAACCGGAGGGAAGGCCUCGUCUUGGAAGAGGACCCCACUCUGCAGGCAUCUUGCCCGAAGCGUUUCAUAAUCCUGGCCCAGGAACUGAAAACUCCACGCACUGAUGCCUUUCCACAAGCUGAACAUCAGAGCACUGGACACUGGCCCAGCUACAGCGGACAGGUUGAGCUGAGCGCCUGGGUUGAGCUGCUUCCGGACCCUUAACCCUCAGGCAAACACACAGAAGACCUGAAGCAGGGGCUGAUCAGCGACAGCCCCCUAACCCCAGAAGCAGUGGCCUGGGUCAAACAGUCGUAGUCUGGACACCCAACUUCUUACCUGGGGAAGGGGAGUUUGGGAGAUUGCUGCGGUCCCUGGGGCUGGCUUCCUUGGUGGCAGCUCAGGGCAGGGCCCAACCAGGAAGAGCGCUCCUCCCUGCCCUCCUCCCUGCCCUCCUCCCCGCCCUCCUCCACCGCCCCUCGGCCCUGGUCCCUCCCUCCCUGGUCCUCCACCUACGCCCGAGGCUCUUACCCCGCUCCCUCUAGGCUCUCCCUUAUCUCCCCCGCAACACUUUUUUACUAUCUCUUACUUAGGGUGUCUUUCAGUCCCCUCCCCCCGCCCCCUUCCUCUGCAGACUCUAAGCCAGCUCUGCGAGAGGACAAAUUGGUAAAUGGCAGAGUUGUCUCCCGGGAGGAGCCGGUCGCCGGUCCGGGUGAGAAGGGUUGGACUGGGACAGAAGGGCACCGCCGGCCAGAGAGAGGGUAGGGCAAGGGGUAUUUUUAACUAGGGCCGCAGCUCGAGUUGCAGAGCCGCCGGCCCCACCCUAUGUCGCCCUCCGGGAAGGUACUGGGGACGAUCCGGCUCAGUGACGCCGCCAACACAGUCCUCCACCCGCCUCCUGCGCCCCCGCGUGCCUCUGGGUUGCAGCUGUCUUCCAGCCCAGCCGGCGCUCGGCGAAGCAGGGAUUACCUCUGGUGGCUGCAACUGCUUGCUGGAGCUGCCCCUGGCUGGAUGAGAGCUGACUUCUGCCGGACGCUAGACAAACGGCACCUCGACACUCCAAAAGUUAAGAGCUGACUGCGUCUAACUUUCGCACCUGGGCGUUAUGCUCAGCUGGGCAUGAGCUGAUGAAGACGCCUCUGCCUUCAUGGUUAAUGGAGAGGAAGGGUUGGUCCACACACUUUCCCCGACUGAAGCCUCAUCUAAUGCAGGUGAAUCGAACUCGGGUUGCCGAGUUUGGCAUCAAGCACUUUUACCCACUGAGCCUUCUUAAAGACCAUCUUGAGAAAGUGGUGUCUUGAAUGAUUCUGAACCUUAGACUUUCUGGAAAAGAUAGGAAGAAAAAAGACAAAAUGAAGAGAUAACUGGUUAGCAGAAGAUGAGGAGUAAGGGCUGACUGGAUGGAUCACAGGAUGUUUUCAAGGCCAGGAAGCUACAGUCGUGGUAGAUACAGGGCAUGUAUUGUGUGCACUGUAUCUGUAAACCCUCAGAGCAGCGACAUUAAGGAUGAACCUGAUGGUGAACUGCGGGAAUAACAUUGUGUCUAUAUUGCUCCAACAAUUGUAAUAAGCAGAGCACAAAAAUGGAAAAUAGCAAGUCUCCUUAGUUUUUGAGAUGCAGCCUUGCUUGUGUAGCAUAAACUCAUCUUGGAUUCAUGGUUCUGCAAGAGCAGCAAGAUUGCGUGUGGUUCAAGUUCCCAGAACCCACGUGAGUACUUGUAGCUCCAGUUCCAGGGAUUCUGGCGCCCUCUUCCGGCCUCUGUGAGCAUUGCCCGAAAUGGUGCACACAUGUGCAAACAACCAUAAAUAUCAAACAAAUUUGUAAAUAAAUGGAGCUUGGAAUGUAGCUCAGUGGAGUAAAGCGCUUGUCUAGCACACA
rnacentral:lncRNA from 1 species